UACGAAGGGGGGCUAGCGUUGCUCGGAAUCACUGGGCGUAAAGCGCACGUAGGCGGAUCUUUAAGUCAGGGGUGAAAUCCCAAGGCUCAACCUUGGAACUGCCUUUGAUACUGGGGAUCUCGAGUCCGGAAGAGGUGAGUGGAACUGCGAGUGUAGAGGUGAAAUUCGUAGAUAUUCGCAAGAACACCAGUGGCGAAGGCGGCUCACUGGUCCGGAACUGACGCUGAGGUGCGAAAGCGUGGGGAGCAAACAGG
rnacentral:rRNA from 1 species